GACGAACGCUGGCGGCGUGCCUAAUACAUGCAAGUCGAACGCAGUGGGGACGGGUGAGUAACACGUGGGUAACCUCCCAUCAGAGGGGAUAACCCUUGGAAACAGGUGCUAAACCGAUACUGAUGGAUGGACCCGCAGUGCAUUAGCUAGUUGGUGAGGUAACGGCUCACCAAGGCCACGAUGCAUAGCUGGUCUGAGAGGAUGAUCGGCCACACUGGAACUGAGACACGGCCCAGACUCCUACGGGAGGCAGCAGUAGGGAAUAUUGGGCAAUGGACGAAAGUCUGACCGAGCAAUGCCGCGUGAGUGAAGAAGGUUUUCGGAUCGUAAAACACUGUUGGUAGAGAAGCGGUAUCUAACCAGAAAGCCACGGCUAACUACGUGCCAGCAGCCGCGGUAAUUC
rnacentral:rRNA from 1 species